rnacentral:tRNA from 1 species
GGUGAGGUGUCCGAGUCCGGUCGAAGGAGCACGAUUGGAAAUCGUGUGUACCUUAACAGGGUACCGAGAGUUCGAAUCUCUCCCUCACCGCCA